rnacentral:rRNA from 5 species
UGACGUUAGCGGCGGACGGGUGAGUAACACGUGGAUAACCUACCUAUAAGACUGGGAUAACUUCGGGAAACCGGAGCUAAUACCGGAUAACAUAUUGAACCGCAUGGUUCAAUAGUGAAAGGCGGCUUUGCUGUCACUUAUAGAUGGAUCCGCGCCGUAUUAGCUAGUUGGUAAGGUAACGGCUUACCAAGGCAACGAUACGUAGCCGACCUGAGAGGGUGAUCGGCCACACUGGAACUGAGACACGGUCCAGACUCCUACGGGAGGCAGCAGUAGGGAAUCUUCCGCAAUGGGCGAAAGCCUGACGGAGCAACGCCGCGUGAGUGAUGAAGGUCUUCGGAUCGUAAAACUCUGUUAUCAGGGAAGAACAAAUGUGUAAGUAACUGUGCACAUCUUGACGGUACCUGAUCAGAAAGCCACGGCUAACUACGUGCCAGCAGCCGCGGUAAUACGUAGGUGGCAAGCGUUAUCCGGAAUUAUUGGGCGUAAAGCGCGCGUAGGCGGUUUUUUAAGUCUGAUGUGAAAGCCCACGGCUCAACCGUGGAGGGUCAUUGGAAACUGGAAAACUUGAGUGCAGAAGAGGAAAGUGGAAUUCCAUGUGUAGCGGUGAAAUGCGCAGAGAUAUGGAGGAACACCAGUGGCGAAGGCGACUUUCUGGUCUGUAACUGACGCUGAUGUGCGAAAGCGUGGGGAUCAAACAGGAUUAGAUACCCUGGUAGUCCACGCCGUAAACGAUGAGUGCUAAGUGUUAGGGGGUUUCCGCCCCUUAGUGCUGCAGCUAACGCAUUAAGCACUCCGCCUGGG